GCCGUCGUAGACCAUGGCGGUCAUCCCUUACCUAUGGUACAGUAUCUGUCUACAGGGGGAAGUCAGAGGUUCGAUUCCUCUCGACGGCA